rnacentral:tmRNA from 1 species
GGGGGCGAUUUGGUUUCGACGAUGAUUUUGCAUUUAAAAGUAGCAUGUCGAGAGCUAACUCGUUAAUCUGGCAAAAGCACUAUAAGUGCCGAACCAAUCAAUCAACUUGCUGCCUAAAUAGUGUAGCAACAUCUUGCGGACUUUUCUCAUAGGGUUUGUUAAGAUGAGGAUAAUAUGAGACUAAAAUAGAACUUUCUCCUAGUUCUAUUUUAGUAUUUAUGGAGAUCGGGAUUUUUUCUUUUUUUUAGCUUGGGAAAAAUCUUUAAAAAAUAAGCUUAAAUAAGCAUGUAGAAGCUCUUAUUUAGCUAAUUUUCGGACCUGGGUUCGAUUCCCAGCGCCUCCACAA